rnacentral:rRNA from 1 species
CACGUAGGGCGCAAGCGUUGUCCGGAAUUAUUGGGCGUAAAGAGCUCGUAGGCGGUCUGUUACGUCUGCUGUGAAAACCCGGGGCUCAACUCCGGGCCUGCAGCCGAUACGGGCAGACUAGAGUUCGGCAGGGGAGACUGGAAUUCCUGGUGUAGCGGUGAAAUGCGCAGAUAUCAGGAGGAACACCGGUGGCGAAGGCGGGUCUCUGGGCCGAUACUGACGCUGAGGAGCGAAAGCGUGGGGAGCGAACAGG